AGCGGGAACUUUUCCCUCUUUGGAACCUUAGCUGAGGUUUAAUUUGUUUACAAUCAGACAACAAAACUUCGUCUUUAUGUUGUCUGAUUCAUAAAGCAAAAAUUAAAAGCCUGCCUUUGACAACUUAAUUAGCUAGCUAGGUUUAUUGGAUUUGCUGUUUCCUCUCGUCGAUCGAGCAGCUCUCUUCUCAUCUUCAUCAAAAACCAUCACUCUCUCAUCAAAACACCAUGGGUCUCUCAUGAAAACACAUCUCGAUUAGGACUCGACUGCACUCAUCCUUCACUGCACUCAUCGAUUAUGAUUUCGAUCCCUCUUCUUAUUCGUGUCUAUCUCUCAAAAGCCAACCCAUUUCCUCUCUCAUCUCCCCUGACCUGCAAACCAAAAAGGAAGAAGCUCGAAGUUUUGAUUCUAAGCAACAUCACCACGAAGAUCGGGAAGAGACGCUCUUCAUUCCUCUCUUCAAUUGAACUACUUUUGGUGGAACGGUUCAGAUCAUCGUCGUCGUCCACCUCCAGCAGCUCUCACUACCUCUCCAAGUGACUCCUUUGAGGCACCGUCGUUCUCCAGGUCCUCUACGGUCACAUUCGCUUCCCCAACUCCGACCACGUCGUUUUCGGUAAGGAGAAAUCGAUAGAAUUGGUGAUAAUUGGUGAAGUUGGGGGAUGGUACAGUCUGUAUGUGAUCAGCAGCCUGUGUUUGGCACCAUUAAAGACAUUGCCGUCCUACCAUGGAAUGACAGAUUCCGAACUCGAAACCGCCAGGAUUUGUAGGCUUGCAGUUGGUAAUGGCUUGGUCUGGUUGAGUGUGCUGAAUAGUUGAAAGCAUUUUCUACCGCUAAAUCUGCAGGUUAGUCCUGUGAUCUGAUAUUCAUUUUGUACGAAAGAUGCUAUUGUAUCUAAAUCUGGUGGAUGGUACUUCUAAAAUUCGAGGGUACAUUCCUUAUAACAGUUAUAUUAACUUGGCUGGAAACAUCUAACUAUUUCGUUGUCACUGCAGCUCCAUAAUGAAAACAAUGAUUAUGACAGGGACAGAGAACUAGAUUGACUAUUUUAAACGUGUUAGCUUCAAGGGCAAGGGUUUAGGCUUAUAUUAUAACCUUUGGCAUAUCUCUCCCACUAUUACCUAAAGCCUCUUUCCUUGGUGAUUAUCAUCUACAUAUGAUUAUCUCAUUUAUAGAUAAUUGUGCAGCUGUACAUAUUAAUCUCUUUGUAUUUUGUUAUCACUUUAGUGAUUAAGUUCUACUACAAUUGUAACUUCUGUAUGCAUAUCAAUAUAAAUAUAGUCACUUGACUCA